rnacentral:lncRNA from 1 species
AAUGUCUGGAUGGUAUGUUAAAACUGACCAUCAGUCUAAGGAUGAUAAAUAGUGCUGAAGUACAAUCCCAAACCAAGUGCUUCUUGAAAACUAUCCUAGAAAAGGGAGGUGAAUGGAGGGUCUCUGUCUGAUACAAUGGAUGAGGGAACGUCGUGGAGUCAAACAAUCUCCUCGACGUGCAGGCGGGCUAAUCCGCCGAUGGAAUCUAUGGUUAUGAUUAGUAGAAAAUGAGUGAGGUCUUAGUCAACCUAUCAACGGUGAUCCAUAUUGCAUUAUGACUGGAAUAGGUUCUAAGCAAACCAGUGACAAAGUAUAUGGUUACCUGCUCUCACUUCCAUUUCGGAAUA